GAUGAACGCUGGCGGCGUGCCUAAUACAUGCAAGUCGAGCGAACAGAUAAGGAGCUUGCUCCUUUGACGUUAGCGGCGGACGGGUGAGUAACACGUGGGUAACCUACCUAUAAGACUGGAAUAACUCCGGGAAACCGGGGCUAAUGCCGGAUAACAUUUAGAACCGCAUGGUUCUAAAGUGAAAGAUGGUUUUACUAUCACUUAUAGAUGGACCCGCGCCGUAUUAGCUAGUUGGUAAGGUAACGGCUUACCAAGGCAACGAUACGUAGCCGACCUGAGAGGGUGAUCGGCCACACUGGAACUGAGACACGGUCCAGACUCCUACGGGAGGCAGCAGCAGGGAAUCUUCCGCAAUGGGCGAAAGCCUGACGGAGCAACGCCGCGUGAGUGAUGAAGGUCUUCGGAUCGUAAAACUCUGUUAUUAGGGAAGAACAAAUGUGUAAGUAACUGUGCACGUCUUGACGGUACCUAAUCAGAAAGCCACGGCUAACUACGUG
rnacentral:rRNA from 1 species